GACAGGGGGUGCAAACGUUGUUCGGAAUUACUGGGCGUAAAGCGUGUGUAGGCGGCUUUGCAAGUCGGAUGUGAAAGCCCCGGGCUCAACCCGGGAAGUGCACUCGAUACUGCAGAGCUUGAGUGUCGGAGAGGUUGGUGGAAUUCUCGGUGUAGAGGUGAAAUUCGUAGAUAUCGAGAGGAACACCGGCGGCGAAGGCGGCCAACUGGACGAACACUGACGCUGAGACACGAAAGCGUGGGGAGCAAACAGG
rnacentral:rRNA from 1 species